rnacentral:rRNA from 1 species
CCUACGGGGGGCAGCAGUGAGGAAUAUUGGUCAAUGGGCGCGAGCCUGAACCAGCCAAGUCGCGUGAGGGAAGACGGUCCUAUGGAUUGUAAACCUCUUUUGUCGGGGAGCAAAAGACGCCACGCGUGGCGUUCCGAGAGUACCCGAAGAAAAAGCAUCGGCUAACUCCGUGCCAGCAGCCGCGGUAAUACGUAGGGGGCAAGCGUUAUCCGGAUUUACUGGGUGUAAAGGGAGCGUAGACGGCGGGGCAAGUCUGGAGUGACAGGCCGGGGCCCAACCCCGGGACCGCUCUGGAAACUGCCCGGCUGGAGUGCGGGAGAGGUAAGCGGAAUUCCUAGUGUAGCGGUGAAAUGCGUAGAUAUUAGGAGGAACACCAGCGGCGAAGGCGGCUUACUGGACCGUGACUGACGUUGAGGCUCGAAAGCGUGGGGAGCAAACAGGAUUAGAUACCCGGGUAGUC